ACCAGGCAUGGUGGUGCAUACCUGUAAUCCCAGCCCCUGAUAGGUUGAUGAGGCAGGCGGAUCUCUUGAGCUCAGAUGUUCUGUGCUGCAAUGGGGUAAGCCAAUCAGGUGUACAGACUAAGCUUAGCAUCAAUAUGGUGAGCCACUAGGACCAGGGGUCCACCAGAUUGCCUAAGGAGGGGGCUAACCCAGCUUGGAAACAGAGCAGGUCAAUGCUCCUAUGGCAGUCAGUAGUGGGAUCAGUCUUAUGAGUAGCCCCUGUCCUUCUAGCCUGGGAGAGAAGGGAAGACACAGUCUUA
rnacentral:SRP_RNA from 1 species